AAUCCAUAGGUUAAUGAGGCGAACCGGGGGAACUGAAACAUCUAAGUACCCCGAGGAAAAGAAAUCAACCGAGAUUCCCCCAGUAGCGGCGAGCGAACGGGGAGGAGCCCAGAGCCUGAAUCAGCAUGUGUGUUAGUGGAAGCGUCUGGAAAGGCGCGCGAUACAGGGUGACAGCCCCGUACACAAAAGCGCAUGUGCUGUGAGCUCGAUGAGUAGGGCGGGACACGUGGUAUCCUGUCUGAAUAUGGGGGGACCAUCCUCCAAGGCUAAAUACUCCUGACUGACCGAUAGUGAACCAGUACCGUGAGGGAAAGGCGAAAAGAACCCCGGCGAGGGGAGUGAAAAAGAACCUGAAACCGUGUACGUACAAGCAGUGGGAGCCCCACCACCAAAGCAUUUGCUGUACCGCGUUGACGGAGCGAAGCGACGUCAAACCGAUAAAACAGCAGUGUAAAGUGAGCCGCAGGGCGCUUUGCGCGACAGCGCAAAGGCAGGCGGUUUCGCGUAGCGAAAGCGAAUGCUUUGGGGUGGGGUGACUGCGUACCUUUUGUAUAAUGGGUCAGCGACUUAUAUUCUGUAGCAAGGUUAACCGAAUAGGGGAGCCGGAGGGAAACCGAGUCUUAAUUGGGCGUUAAGUUGCAGGGUAUAGACCCGAAACCCGGUGAUCUAGCCAUGGGCAGGUUGAAGGUUGGGUAACACUAACUGGAGGACCGAACCGACUAAUGUUGAAAAAUUAGCGGAUGACCUGUGGCUGGGGGUGAAAGGCCAAUCAAACCGGGAGAUAGCUGGUUCUCCCCGAAAGCUAUUUAGGUAGCGCCUCGUGAAUUCAUCUCCGGGGGUAGAGCACUGUUUCGGCUAGGGGGCCAUCCCGGCUUACCAACCCGAUGCAAACUGCGAAUACCGGAGAAUGUUAUCACGGGAGACACACGGCGGGUGCUAACGUCCGUCGUGAAGAGGGAAACAACCCAGACCGCCAGCUAAGGUCCCAAAGUCAUGGUUAAGUGGGAAACGAUGUGGGAAGGCCCAGACAGCCAGGAUGUUGGCUUAGAAGCAGCCAUCAUUUAAAGAAAGCGUAAUAGCUCACUGGUCGAGUCGGCCUGCGCGGAAGAUGUAACGGGGCUAAACCAUG
rnacentral:rRNA from 2 species